rnacentral:rRNA from 1 species
GAUGAACGCUGGCGGCGUGCCUAAUACAUGCAAGUCGAGCGAACGGACGAGAGGCUUGCUUUUCUGAUGUUAGCGGCGGACGGGUGAGUAACACGUGGAUAACCUACCUAUAAGACUGGGAUAACUUCGGGAAACCGGAGCUAAUACCGGAUAAUAUUUUGAACCGCAUGGUUCAAAAGUGAAAGACGGUCUUGCUGUCACUUAUAGAUGGAUCCGCGCUGCAUUAGCUAGUUGGUAAGGUAACGGCUUACCAAGGCAACGAUGCAUAGCCGACCUGAGAGGGUGAUCGGCCACACUGGAACUGAGGCACGGUCCAGACUCCUACGGGAGGCAGCAGUAGGGAAUCUUCCGCAAUGGGCGAAAGCCUGACGGAGCAACGCCGCGUGAGUGGUGAAGGUCUUCGGAUCGUAAAACUCUGUUAUUAGGGAAGAACAUAUGUGUAAGUAACUGUGCACAUCUUGACGGUACCUAAUCAGAAAGCCACGGCUAACUACGUG